rnacentral:rRNA from 1 species
AGUCUGGUGCCAGCAGCCGCGGUAAUUCCAGCUCCAAUAGCAUAUAUUAAAGUUGUUGCAGUUAAAAAGCUCGUAGUUGGAUAUCGGGCGCGUGCGCAUGGUCAACCGAAAGGUGUGCACUGUGUCUGCGCGCGUCCUCUUUCCGUAGGCCGCGUGUGCCCUUAACUGGGUGUGCGCGGAAUGCGGAUCGUUUACUUUGAAUAAAUUAGAGUGUUCAAAGCAGGCUUUCGCUUGAAUACAUUAGCAUGGAAUAAUGGAAUAGGACUUUGGUUCUAUUUUGUUGGUUUCUAGGACCGAGGUAAUGAUUAAUAGGGAUAGUUGGGGGCAUUAAUAUUUAAUUGUCAGAGGUGAAAUUCUUGGAUUUAUGAAAGAUUAACUUCUGCGAAAGCAUUUGCCAAGGAUGUUUUCAUUAGUCAAGAACGAAAGUUAAGGGAUCGAAGAUGAUUAGAUACCGUCGUAGUCUUAACCAUAAACUAUGCCGACUAGGGAUUGGGGGAUGUUUUUCAUGACGCCCUCAGCACCUUCAGAGAAAUCAAAGUCUUUGGGUUCCGGGGGGAGUAUGGUCGCAAGGCUGAAACUUAAAGGAAUUGACGGAAGGGCACCACCAGGCGUGGAGCCUGCGGCUUAAUUUGACCCAACACGGGAAAACUUACCAGGUCCAGACAUAGUAAGGAUUGACAGAUUGAGAGCUCUUUCUUGAUUCUAUGGGUGGUGGCGCAUGGCCGUUCUUAGUUGGUGGAGUGAUUUGUCUGGUUAAUUCCGUUAACGAUCGAGACCUUAGCCUGCUAAAUAGUUACGCCAAGCUCUGCUUGUGCGGGCAACUUCUUAGAGGGACUAUCGGUGUCUAACCGGAGGAAGUUUGAGGCAAUAACAGGUCUGUGAUGCCCUUAGAUGUUCUGGGCCGCACGCGCGCUACACUGAAAGCAUCAACGAGUAUAUAACCUUGACCGGUAGGUCUGGGUAAUCUUUUGAAACCCUUUCGUGCUGGGGAUUGAUGGUUGCAAUUUUCCAUCAUGAACGAGGAAUGCCUAGUAAGCGCAGGUCAUCAGCCUGCGUUGAUUACGUCCCUGCCCUUUGUACACACCGCCCGUCGCUCCUACCGAUUGGAUGGUCCGGUGAGACUUCCGGACCGCGGCGCCCACGGAGGUUCGCCACCGAGGGUGCUGCGGGAAGUUAUUCAAACCUUAUCAUCUAGAGGAAGGAGAAGUCGUA